AAAUUGAAGAGUUUGAUCAUGGCUCAGAUUGAACGCUGGCGGCAGGCCUAACACAUGCAAGUCGAACGGUAGCACAGAGAGCUUGCUCUCGGGUGACGAGUGGCGGACGGGUGAGUAAUGUCUGGGAAACUGCCUGAUGGAGGGGGAUAACUACUGGAAACGGUAGCUAAUACCGCAUAACGUCGCAAGACCAAAGAGGGGGACCUUCGGGCCUCUUGCCAUCAGAUGUGCCCAGAUGGGAUUAGCUAGUAGGUGGGGUAACGGCUCACCUAGGCGACGAUCCCUAGCUGGUCUGAGAGGAUGACCAGCCACACUGGAACUGAGACACGGUCCAGACUCCUACGGGAGGCAGCAGUGGGGAAUAUUGCACAAUGGGCGCAAGCCUGAUGCAGCCAUGCCGCGUGUAUGAAGAAGGCCUUCGGGUUGUAAAGUACUUUCAGCGGGGAGGAAGGUGUUGUGGUUAAUAACCACAGCAAUUGACGUUACCCGCAGAAGAAGCACCGGCUAACUCCGUGCCAGCAGCCGCGGUAAUACGGAGGGUGCAAGCGUUAAUCGGAAUUACUGGGCGUAAAGCGCACGCAGGCGGUCUGUCAAGUCGGAUGUGAAAUCCCCGGGCUCAACCUGGGAACUGCAUUCGAAACUGGCAGGCUAGAGUCUUGUAGAGGGGGGUAGAAUUCCAGGUGUAGCGGUGAAAUGCGUAGAGAUCUGGAGGAAUACCGGUGGCGAAGGCGGCCCCCUGGACAAAGACUGACGCUCAGGUGCGAAAGCGUGGGGAGCAAACAGGAUUAGAUACCCUGGUAGUCCACGCCGUAAACGAUGUCGACUUGGAGGUUGUGCCCUUGAGGCGUGGCUUCCGGAGCUAACGCGUUAAGUCGACCGCCUGGGGAGUACGGCCGCAAGGUUAAAACUCAAAUGAAUUGACGGGGGCCCGCACAAGCGGUGGAGCAUGUGGUUUAAUUCGAUGCAACGCGAAGAACCUUACCUACUCUUGACAUCCAGAGAACUUAGCAGAGAUGCUUUGGUGCCUUCGGGAACUCUGAGACAGGUGCUGCAUGGCUGUCGUCAGCUCGUGUUGUGAAAUGUUGGGUUAAGUCCCGCAACGAGCGCAACCCUUAUCCUUUGUUGCCAGCGGUCCGGCCGGGAACUCAAAGGAGACUGCCAGUGAUAAACUGGAGGAAGGUGGGGAUGACGUCAAGUCAUCAUGGCCCUUACGAGUAGGGCUACACACGUGCUACAAUGGCGCAUACAAAGAGAAGCGACCUCGCGAGAGCAAGCGGACCUCAUAAAGUGCGUCGUAGUCCGGAUUGGAGUCUGCAACUCGACUCCAUGAAGUCGGAAUCGCUAGUAAUCGUAGAUCAGAAUGCUACGGUGAAUACGUUCCCGGGCCUUGUACACACCGCCCGUCACACCAUGGGAGUGGGUUGCAAAAGAAGUAGGUAGCUUAACCUUCGGGAGGGCGCUUACCACUUUGUGAUUCAUGACUGGGGUGAAGUCGUAACAAGGUAACCGUAGGGGAACCUGCGGUUGGAUCACCUCCUUA
rnacentral:rRNA from 1 species